GAUGAACGCUAGCGGCAGGCCUAAUACAUGCAAGUCGAACGAUAUCUUCCAGCUUGCUGGAAGAGAAAGUGGCGCACGGGUGCGUAACGCGUAUGCAACCUACCUUUAUCAGGGGGAUAGCCCGGAGAAAUCCGGAUUAAUACCGCAUAACAUCAUUGGAUAGCAUUAUUUUAUGAUCAAACAUUUAUGGGAUAAAGAUGGGCAUGCGUGUCAUUAGCUAGUUGGCGGGGUAACGGCCCACCAAGGCGACGAUGACUAGGGGAUCUGAGAGGAUGGCCCCCCACACUGGUACUGCGACACGGACCAGACUCCUACGGGAGGCAGCAGUAAGGAAUAUUGGUCAAUGGAGGGAACUCUGAACCAGCCAUGCCGCGUGCAGGAAGACUGCCCUAUGGGUUGUAAACUGCUUUUAUCCGGGAAUAAACCUGAGUACGUGUACUUAGCUGAAUGUACCGGAAGAAUAAGGAUCGGCUAACUCCGUGCCAGCCGCCGCCGUAACAC
rnacentral:rRNA from 1 species